rnacentral:lncRNA from 1 species
UAUUUUAUGUUUAUUGUUUGCAGGUAAAAGGCUAAAAUCUUUGUAUAGUGAGGAAGCGCAGCACCUGAAGGACCUCAUGACCCGAACACUCACCCUGGGAGAGAGCAACUCAGCCCUUGUACUUGCUGCAAGGGGCAUGGGCAAAUCAUCUCUGGUAAAUACUGUAAUAGAGAAGCUGGAGGCUUCAGGCACACUGGGUGAGGGAGUGGUUGUCAGACUGUCGGGACUCCUGCAGACAGAUGACAGGCUGGCCCUCAAAGAGAUAACCUGCCAGCUGAAACUGGAGAAUGCAACUGCUAAUAAAGUGUUUGGUUCUUUUGCUGAAAAUUUAGCCUUUCUUUUGGAAUCUCUCCGCUGUGGAAGUAAAGAAACAUCCAAACCUGUCAUAUUUAUCUUGGAUGAAUUUGAUCUGUUCUGCCAUCAUCGCAACCAAACACUUCUGUACAACCUCUUUGAUGUUGCCCAGUCUGCACAGGUAGGUAAAACAUUUCUAAACAAAAGAAACAUACCCACUGUAAGACUUAUCCAUAUUUUGUAUUUUUUUUUUUUGUUCAGUGUUAACUAAAGAGAAGCACCAUAGCAGGACAUAUCUGUUGCAGCAUUUAGAGAUACUAAAUGAUGGAAGGGUAUAAAUUUAUCCUUGCUUCUGGCAAACCUAUUUCAUAAUAUAACAAUCUUUAUUCACUCACAUGAUGCAUAACUAUUGUAGCUGUGUGGCAUUGUAAGGGAUCAUCCAGUUUCAAUAUAAUUUGCAGUCUUUACUAAAUUUCCUCUAUUAAUUACAUAUGAAGUAUUUUUGCUGUGUUCCUAUAGAGGGGAGUGGAAGUUACCUAUUCAUUUUGGGGUCACUGGAUUAAAUGUCAAGUUAUUAAAAUUUUACAGUUUUUUCCUUAUUUACCAGAGGCAUUCUAAUAAUGUUUUAUUUUGUGAGAAUUAAUUACAAAAAUUAAAUAAGCCAUGCUCCAAUAUACAGUACAUACAGUAGAUAUAUAAUCACUGCUCUGUGCAUACUUGCUCAAAUAUGCUUGCAAGUUCUUAAAGCACUGUAAAGUACAUCUUUUAGAAAAUCAAGGGUCAGAAAUAUUGAAAUUAUGAUUAUCAUUUAAUAGGGAUAAGUGGGACAUUUGUCUCUCUUGCCCAUUAGUGCCGUGUUCCUCUUUUUAUGCUUUGUAUGCAUCUGUGUUCAAAGAGGUAUUACUGUCAGAUUUUAUCCAUUUUUAAUUAAUAUUACUCUAUAUCAUUAUGUGAAUAUAUAUGAAACUAGAUCCUCCAAAAUGUAUUUGUUAUGUGUUGUAUACAAUGAACGACAAAACUAUCUCCCCAUUUUUGGGUAAAUAUACCGCGAAAAACUCGAGCCUUCUAACAUGCUCUCUGGGAAACUUUUGAAUAGUUAGUGGGUCUGGAGAGGGUGAUCCUGAGUUUACAGGUGCAUAAUUUAACUCAGGUAGGGUAAAUACUGUACCUUUGUAUUAAGAUAGGUAAUAAAUUGAUGGAGAAGGUUUGGCUAUAAGGGAGGUUGGAGGCCAUAGGAAAAAAUCUCUAGUACAGUGGUCCCUCGGUUAACGAGCGCCUCG